GAAAUGCGAUAAGUAAUGUGAAUUGCAGAAUUCAGUGAAUCAUCGAAUCUUUGAACGCACCUUGCGCUCCUUGGUAUUCCUUUGAGCAUGCCUGUUUGAGUAUCAUGAAAUCUUCAAAGUAAAUCUUUUGUUAACUCGAUUGGUUUCUACUUUGGUAUUGGAGGUCUUUGCAGCUUCACACCUGCUCCUCUUUGUUCAUUAGCUGGAUCUCAGUGUUAUGCUUGGUUCCACUCGGCGUGAUAAGUUAUCUAUCGCUGAGGACACUGUAAAAGGUGGCCAAGGUAAAUGCAGAUGAACCGCUUCUAAUAGUCCAUUGACUUGGACAAUACUUUUAUGAUCUGAUCUCAAAUCAGGUAGGACUACCCGCUGAACUUAAGC
rnacentral:misc_RNA from 1 species